rnacentral:rRNA from 1 species
AGAGUUUGAUUCUGGCUCAGAACGAACGCUGGCAGCAUGGAUUAGGCAUGCAAGUCGAACGAGAUUCCUUAAGUUCAAUUCUUCGGAAAAGAACUUUUGGAUGAGAGUGGCGAAAGGGUGAGUAAUAUACGAACAAUCUGCCUCCGAGUUUGGGGUAACCCUGCGAAAGCGGAGCUAAUACCGGAUGUGGUCACUUGUCGCAUGGUGAGUGAUUAAAGGUGGGGACCUUCGGGCCUGCCGCUAGGAGAGGAGUUCGUACGCCAUCAGCUUGUUGGCGGGGUAACGGCCCACCAAGGCUUACGGCUAGCUGGUCUGAGAGGAUGGUCAGCCACACUGGGACUGAGACACUGCCCAGACUCCUACGGGAGGCUGCAGUCGAGGAUCUUUUGCAAUGCGCGAAAGCGUGACAAAGCGAUGCUGCGUGGAGGAUGACGGCCUUCGGGUUGUAAACUCCUGUCAUCCGGGGUAAAUUGCCUGUUAUUAAUACUAGCAGGACUUGAUAGUACCGGAAGAGGAAGCCACGGCUAACUCUGUGCCAGCAGCCGCGGUAAUACAGAGGUGGCGAGCGUUGUUCGGAUUUACUGGGCGUAAAGGGUGCGUAGGUGGUUUCGUGUGUCGGGUGUGAAAGCCCACCGCUCAACGGUGGAAUUGCAUCCGAAACUGCGGAACUUGAGUGCAGGAGAGGAGAGCGGAAUUCUUGGUGUAGCGGUGAAAUGCGUUGAUAUCAAGAAGAACACCGGUGGCGAAGGCGGCUCUCUGGAAUGCUACUGACACUGAGGCACGAAAGCUGGGGGAGCAAACAGGUUUAGAUACCCUGGUAGUCCCAGCUGUAAACGGUGUGAACUUGGUGUGGGGGGUAUUGACCCCCCCCGUGCCGGAGCUAACGCGUUAAGUUCACCGCCUGGGGAGUACGGCCGCAAGGUUAAAACUCAAAGAAAUUGACGGGGGCCCGCACAAGCGGAGGAGCAUGUGGCUUAAUUCGAUGCAACGCGAAGAACCUUACCAGGGCUUGACAUGUAACUGCUCAUCCUGCGAAAGCAGGACUCUUUCGAAGGUGUUACACAGGUGCUGCAUGGCUGUCGUCAGUUCGUGCCGUGAGGUGUUGGGUUAAGUCCCGCAACGAACGCAACCCUUGUGUUUAGUUGCCACCGGUAGUUUACUACCGAGCACUCUAGACAGACUGCCCGUACAAGCGGGAGGAAGGUGGGGAUGACGUCAAGUCAGUAUGGCCCUUACGCCCUGGGCUGCACACGUGCUACAAUGGCCGGUACAAAGGGAAGCAAUACCGCGAGGUGGAGCAAAUCCUCAGAACCGGCCCCAGUUCGGAUUGGAGUCUGAAACUCGACUCCAUGAAGUUGGAUUCGCUAGUAACGGCGUAUCAGCUACGACGCCGUGAAUACGUUCCCGGGCCUUGUACACACCGCCCGUCACAUCAUGAAAGCCGUCUGCACCCGAAGUCGCUGAACCAACCUGCAAAGGAGGGAGGCGCCGAAGGUGUGGGUGGUGAUU